rnacentral:rRNA from 1 species
UAAAGAACCUGCCUCAUAGACUGGGACAACUAUUGGAAACGAUAGCUAAUACCGGAUAACAGUAUUUCUCGCAUGAGAGAUAUUUAAAAGUUGGUUAUGCUAACACUAUGAGAUGGCUUUGCGGUGCAUUAGCUAGUUGGUGGGGUAAAGGCCCACCAAGGCGACGAUGCAUAGCCGACCUGAGAGGGUGAUCGGCCACACUGGGACUGAGACACGGCCCAG